GUGUGUUACAAUCAAGAGGUUAUAUGUGUUAUUUGAGUUCAAUUUCCAAUCAAGAUAACGAGGAAAGAAAUACGAAUGCAUAAUCUAUCUAUUAUACUAAAGGAAAGUUGGCUAUCAAGAUUUUCCCGCCAAAAUAUUUUUGAGUAGAAUUAUCUAUUUAUAAUUAAUUAAAAUUUUAUCCUUGAAAUUGAUGACCAAACUUUUCACAUGCCCAAUCAAUGUUAAAAACUUUACGCCUUUUCAGAUGCCCAAUGUCCUUAAAAACUUUUAUGCCUUUUCAAAUUUACUUCAGUUUAUUAUUUUAUCCAAUCUUGGACAUCUCCAGUCUCAAUCUUCUCCUCUGGUUUAAUGUUCGUCGCUUCCCCUCUCUCUCCAUCUCUCCUUCUGAUACAAUAUGCACUAUCACCAAUGCUGCAUGGCAUUGGAGGUGGCAAUUUCUUCUCCGGUGAAGAAAAAAAGAAACCACAAUUUUUUUCACAAUUCUUGCUUGAAGAAAGUUCUUUGUUCAUUAGUCUGAAAAAAAAAAAUCACUUCUGUUGAAAUUUGAUGGAUCGUCCUAGAAGUUAGAGCAAGGGCUAAAUUCAAAAUAUUUUUGUAUCUAUUUGAGAUAUAUAGUCGUAAGAGAGCAUAGUUGGUGCAUCAUAUCAAAACAUAAACACUGUCGGUAAGAAAGGUAUACUUUUUGGUAUAUGAAGAUUUUCUUCUCGCUCCUUUUAUUUUAUCUUUUUCCGGUAUCUGCACAAAUAUUGAGAAGCUGUCGAUUGGAGAAGAAAGAUAAAUAGAGAAGAAGAAGAAGAACACACGCUGUUGAAGGCGAAGAGCAGACAACUUUUGUUUAUUUUUCGGAGCUGAACAGCCAGACGAGGGACGACUCCUGAAGAAGAAGAUUAAGGCUCUCUUUAUUUAAUGACUCUCAAUUUUAGGGGUGAAUGAGAUCUGGGCUCAGUUUUUUNUUUGAGACAUUUAAACCAAAAUAAGAUAUUUCCUUAUGAUAUUUUCCUUUAAACCAUUUUAGGCGCGGAUCGAAGAUUAAAAGAAAACAUCAUAAGGAAAUAUCUUGUUUUGGUUUAAAUGUCUCAAAUAAUAAUACAAGUGGAUCUUUGUAUAAUUAUUUACAAAAAGGAGUUAUUUUUUGAAUUUUUAAGAAUUAAGUCGUGUCAAAUUUGGACAAUAACAAAAAUUGGUGUAUUAAAAUGUAAAAUCCUAACUUCGCGUCAAAUAUGAAUUUUUGGCAAAGUUUGUGUAUUUUCACGCAAUUAUCCCUAUUUUAAAUGCAUCUCAAAAGUAUCCUUUUAUUUACGUUUUUUUUCAUGGUGAAGUUCAAUAAAGAUCAAUGCGGGAAUGAUAAAAUAUCAAUGUGGAAACGAUGAUAAACUAAUAUAUAAAAGGAGAUUAAGCCGUUUAUUUAGAUAUGCCAUUAUGAUAUUAAUGUGAGAAUGAAGAUUUAUUUCAAAUUAUUUUACAUGUCCAAAUUAAAUUGAAGAAUUUAUUUAUUUAUUUUAUUUCAUAUAUAUCUUAGUAUCAUUUUGUUUACUUUAUAUGACUAAAUUAAAUUGAAUAAUUUAUUUUUGAAAAUAUUUUUUAAGUGUUAUCUUAUUUAUUUUAUAUGACCAAAUCAAUUGAAUAACCUGUUUAUUUUUUAAUAUAUUUUUUUUGUGAAUCAAGCUGUCAUCCACUUAUCAUAUCCUCUCUCCUCUUUUGCUUAUCUUCUUCAACGCGUCAUCAUCUGCAAUUCUGCAUCUAUUUUCUAUCUCUUGACUUCUCUCCAAAAAAUCAAUGAAGCCGUAUCUCUCUCUCUCCUAACUUCUCUUUCUAGAAUCCAACUCACAACAAAUGUUUUAUCUUCGCAAAAAGCUCACCAAUUUCUCCGUCUCUCAAAAUCACAGUAAUAAAUCGACGACAAGUUGUGUAUUGUGUGGGAAGGUUAAGACUUUAGAAGUACACAUUACUCCACCGGAUCAUUAUUGCCAUGAAAAUAGAAAUAACUGAAGGGAUGAAGAUGAAGGACUCUUAUCGACGCCAUGCUUCUCCCUCUUACAGUAGAAUUAAGAAGAAAAAAGAAAAUAAAUAAGAUUUCAGAGCGACGGAAGAUGGGGAAGAUGUAGAUAUGCUUCUCCCUCCUAGUGUAGUAAUCACUGGUCGUGAGACUGAAUCUCGUCGAUGAUGGUACUAUGAAAAUGAAAAAGUGAUAUAUUGGGUUUGUAAUUAUAUUUUGGGUGCGUAAUUAAUGGAAAUAAAAGAAAUGAAACACCUUUCUAAAUCGCGUGUAUAUCACUCGAACCGGAGUUAAAACGAUACCGAUACUCAACCGAUAUAUAAAAAUACAGGGGUAGACACGUGUUAAAAUUUUAAGGUCGAUGCGCACCUUCCUCAAUUGCGCAACGCGCAGCAUAGAAUUUACCCCAAUAUAGAAAAUUAAAAGAGCUGUCCUAGAUCCUGUCAUCAAUUAAGAAAAGAAAUUUCGAAAAUGAUGAAAUGAGAUUGGACAACUUAAUUGUGUAAAAAUUAUAUUCCCUCCCUGCCAACUCAUGACUUAGUCUAAUUCUUUUCGACGCGAUUAUUAAAGAAAUUAAUAUUAUAAUGUAAAAUAUGUGAGUCCAUAUAUAUCUAUUAUAAUGAAAUUUUAUUACUAAAAAAGAAAAUAAAUCAAGUCGAAUAAGAUCUGAAAAGGAAAUUAGGUUAAAUGAAAUGAACCAGAGAAAAUUAUGGGGAGAGCUAUGGAGAAGAGGAGAAUCAUUGUGUAUGUUGUUGAGCAGGAAGAAGAUAGAAUGCACUUGUAGAAAAAUAAUAACUGGGAGUAUCAUGUAACUUGGCGCUUGUUGUUUAUGGCUAAACAUUUACUAUUGUAGUAUUACUAUAAGAUUGAGAAAAAUAUUAGCCAUGAAAUUAAAAUUAACAUAUAAAUUAUAAUAUUCUUACGAUAAUAUUCUUUAAUUAUUUGAAUUUAAGCUUUAAUGGAAUUUUAUUUAUAAAAUUUGAAGUUCGAAAAAGAAAAAAAUAAUUAAAAGUAACUUUGUAUUAAUUAACCCAAAUAUUUCAUUAUAAAUUCAAAUAAAUAUAAAAGGCAAUUAUAAGUCCUAAUGGGAUGAAUGUAUCCUAAUUAAUUAUCUUAAAAUUAUAUUGAUGAACUGCAACGGGAGGUUACAAGAGAUUCAACUUAGACAAAAGGGAUUUAUUAUAUUUUUAUUAAAGGUAAAAUAGUCUACUGCAAUUAUUAUUAUUAUUAUUAUUAGUACUACUACUAUUAUUUAUUAUUUAUUAUUAUUAUUAUUAUUUAUUAUUUAUUAUUAUUAUUAUUAUUAUUAUUAUUUAUUAUUAUUUAUUAUUUUUCUUUCUUCAUCUCUUUUUCUACUACUAACGACAUUGGAGUUGUUGGUGGUGGUGCGAUGUUAGAGACGACGUCAAAUAUGUUUUCGGUAAAAUUGUUUGAACACAAUAUGGAUAUAGUUAAACAUAUAUGCUUGAGAUCCAUGUAAAUUUAAUAAUACAUUUGCGCAUUUUUUCCCUAAAACUUAUCUCAUUCUAUAUUUACCCUAAGGCCUCUAUCACAUGUUUAUAAACUACCUAUGCAUCUCCGAGAUCUUGAUCCCAUGGCACGUUUUCUCAAUGUUAUUUUUUUAACAAAUUGCAAAGUCAUCAUUUAAAUUAAUUUAAAAUUAAAUUUUAGUUGAAAAUUCAUGUUUUAAUAAAUACUAGUAAUAAAUAUUUUUUCAAUAAAGUAAUAAUACUAGUACUAGUAAUAGAUAUGCGAUCAGUCUAGAUUUGAAAACAAUAUUAAUUUAUUAGGUCCAUUUAGAAAGAAAAAAAACGUUGUCUAGUAUCAUAAAUCAUAAAUAUAUAUAUAGAGAAAAGCUCCCAGCGAGGAUCGAACUCGCGACCUUUCGCUUACGAAGCGAACGCACUACCACUAUGCUAUGGAAGCUUUCGAUUGUUGUUUUGGAAAUUAAAAUAAAAGUAUGUUAAUUGACCCUAUAAUUAAACAUAAUCAAAAGAGGUUGUAUAGUUGUGUGUUACAAUCAAGAGGUUAUAUGUGUUAUUUGAGUUCAAUUUCCAAUCAAGAUAACGAGGAAAGAAAUACGAAUGCAUAAUAUAGAUUAUAAACAUGUGAGACAUUUUAGCAUUGCUUAAGGUAGAAAAAAAAAAAACCUAUUCUGCAAAGUGCUAGCUUUCUUAUAGGCGCAUGUCACAUGUGUAGAAAUUUGGCAAUAUGAUCCUUGCGCUGGAAUCUGUUGAGAGACAUGAUCCAUGAUUCCAUUCCAAAUAUUGAAUCCGGCUUGGGCUGGGGUUGGGGUGGGCGUCGUCCAUUUUUCUUUUUUCUUUUUCUUUUCUCGCCUUCCAAUCUCACUAAUGUUCAUGUAUCAUGUAAUACACCUUUACAAAAUUCUCAUGGUACCUUCAAAUUCCUGGAGUAUUCAUUCUUGCGCUUCGUAUCAUCCCAUGAACAAUGGACAGCUAAUGCAUCUUUCUUCCAUCUUGGUAAAGCCUUAUUCAUUUCCUCUGCCCCUAAAGGAUUGCAGUCAACCAUUUCAAUCUUUCUAAGUGAAUCUUUACAAGCCCAAUGAAUCCUAUCAGGCGACCUUCCAUAUUCCCACUCAAUAUUUUCCAAGUUGUAGCAGUGCUUUAGGCUUAGCCUUUUAAGUGAUUCAUGCUCUCACUUCCAACUUUCCAUUCCACCAGAUCAUGUCUUCAAUCAAGAGAUUGAAGGGACCAGAAUUUUUCCCUCGCUUCCCACUUAACUCCUUGAAAAGCAUAGUUUUGCAACUUGAGCACUGUAAGACUCAGCAACAACGCAUCUUGCUCAUUUCUUCCCACGGAUAUCCCAACCCACUCAAACUCAAUUUCCUCAACGUUGAUGGGAAGUUCGGAAGUGGAGCAAGCGGAGAAGGGACUAUCUCAGGACUACGAUCACACAUUUAAGUGAUCGUAGUUCUUUUAGAUUUGAAACUUGGUUAAGGGAGCUCAAGAGUUUAACAUCAUCAUCAUAUGCUAAUUCAAUCCGAAUCCCAAGUUUCUCCAACUUAGGAAUUGCUUUAAAAACUUCCUCACUACAGCUAUGAGCACUCACAUUUGAAAGUGUGAGUAAACUUUCCAAUGAAGCACCACAAGGAUUGGGUAUAUCACUAUACAUGACAUCAAUAUGCUUUAUUUCCUUCAUGCUCCAUAUCUCCACUGGCAAAAACGAUGGCCCUCUGCAAGAUUUGAUGCUCAAAUGGGAACCCACAAUCAAGAACUGAAGGUUUGAGAGUCGGGAUAUGGAAACAGGGAGUUCUCCGUUCAAAGUGAGAGCAAGGUACCUCAACUGAACUAGUUCUAACACCUCCAAUGGAAACUCAUAGAAACGGAUUGUAAGAGCAUCCAACUCUCUCAGCAACUUCAAACCAGACUACCAGAGCAUAUAGGAACUUGAUACCGAUGAUAGGGACCAUAACAAAGAAGAGAACGCACAGUUGAUGCACAAUGAACCUCCACUGAUUCAUACACAUCCUUUGAUGCCAAACAAAACAUUGUUGUGGAAUGCCAAUCUACUUUGCCCUUGUAUAUCUCCUCCUAAACUAUCAUUGAGAAUUUUCAAUAUGCAACAGAACUUCGUCUCCCUAGCUUCUCUGUUACACAAGUACCAAAACGAAGAAUGAAGGCCACAUGUUUUUAUUUGCUCUUCACCAACUGCAGAAUUAGGAGAUAUGUUGCUUUGAUAUAUCAUAACCAAAUUAUUUGCAACAAGCUCAUUUAAACAUUCGAUUGCACUAGGAGAUGGGAAUUCAUGCGCAUUUUCUUCAAGAAAUCCAUCAUACUCCACAUAUUGAUCAGCUUACCCCGAGGAAUCUCAUAAUUUUGACGAAAAACUCCCAUAUACAGAAAACAUAAUUUUAGCAACUCUGUCAAAUUCUCAUAGCUUGAAUAAAGUACCUUCGAUAUUCCAUCAUAAGCAUCCAUGAAAAGCUGGUGAUUUUUUUCUGCUGCAACUUCGUUCCAAUACUGUAACGUCCUCUCCUUUGAAGACAAGAGCUCUGCAACCUUGACAAUCAUAAGAGGAAGACCUUCACAAUUCUCGGCAAUCUUCUUUCCAGCUUUCUCAAAUUGAGAGGUGCAGAGCUCUUCAGCGAACACGUUCUCACGCAGAAGCUCCCAACUUUCCUCCUCAUUUAAGAAGCGCAGCCUCGAGACAUAAUCCGGAAAAUGACCAUUGUGUUCUUCCGCUUGAUGCACCCUGGUUGUGAGCAAUACUCGACUUUCAUUUCUCUCAUAUGGAAAAGGCUCCGAUUCAAAUAUUUUGUAUCUGCUCGACCAAUAGAAGUGACACGCCAUGUAUUUGUUCCAUACAUCAUCCAAAACAAUGAGAUAUCUCUUGCCCUUCAAAUUUUCUCUCAGGCACCGAGCAAUUUCGUGAUUUUCUCCUUUCGAGAGGAAUCGAUCGCUUAGAUCGGGAUUCAGCUUGGCUAGAAUGCGCCGUGGGAUGUCUUUUAAUUGACAUUUUCCCCCAAUUUUCACCCACACGCGAAGAUCAUAAUGUUUCACGAUAUCUGGAUCUUCAAAAAUUUGUGCAGCAAGAGUAGUCUUACCAAUGCCUGCCAUUCCAACAAGGACCAAAAUCAUCAUAGGCGAUGCUGGACGCGUGAGAUGGUAUUUCAGUUCUUUAUAAUGGUCGGACAGACCAAUCAUCUUCGAUUUGCGCCCAGAAAGCCCGAUUUGCGAUGAAUCGCCAUCUUCUUCUUCUUCUUCGGCGGCGGCGAUGUACAUUGUGUUGAAUAAUUCUGCAAAUGAGUGAAUAUCUUGCUUGAGAUCUUUCACUUCCUCUGCGGAGAAUUCGAUAUAGCGCACGCUGCUUCCAGAUGGCGCGUGCUUCGUCUUCAAUGAUCGGAUUGUGUCUAGUAAUUUGGAAACCGCCACUUUGAUUUGGAGAUCCAAAGUGGUGGUGGUGCGCAAGAGCAAUUUUCUGGCGAUUUCUUCUGAGGAGUGCAGCUGCUGAUAUGCGAAUUCUAAGAUUUGUUGAGUUGGGGGUGCAAGCGAAAGGCUGGAAAAAGGAUUCUUUAUGAGGUCCUCAAUUGUGAGCUUGAGAGAAAUGAAGGCAUCCAAAGCCAUUUUCACUCUCUCAAUAUCAGAUUUUACUUCAACUGAAACUCGACAUUUUCGUUUGUUAAAGUGUGGGAACUUGCUUUACAAAGACGAGUGACAAUUAUUGAAAUGGGCCUAUUCGUAAUUAUGAACGUGCUAAAGUAGUGGGAAUGAUGAGCAUCAAUUUUUCGGAUAUGAGUCAUAGACUCACAUGACUGCAAUUAUUUCUCCCCUAUUUUGCAAAUAUUUCAAUGUGUUGACUAAAAUCGUU
rnacentral:lncRNA from 1 species